rnacentral:rRNA from 1 species
CCACAUUGGUAAUCUCCGAGCUUGGGCUCGGCGAAUUGUAAUCUGAAGAUCGCUAGUCUAAUUGGAUCAGGCGUCAAAGUGCGCACGAGCGCGCCGCCAUAGAGGGUGAGAGCCCCGUACGACGCAGGAUCCUACCAAGGCUGGUGUUCGAAGAGUCGUGUACUUUGAUACUAGUGCACUAAGCGGGAGAUAAACUUCUUCUAAGGCUAAAUAUAAGUAGGAAACCGAUAGCGAACAAGUACUGUGAAGGAAAGAUGAAAAGCACUUUGGAAAGAAAGUUAAAAGACUUGAAAUCGUUGAGGCGGACCCGGUAGAAAUGUAUUCUAGCGAAGCGCUCUGGGAAGCCUCUACGGGGGCCACUUGAGCGCUAGCCGAGACAAGAUGGAGUCGCCUGAUGCCAGAGGCUGUGUGCGAGCGUGCUUGCAUGAGCGCAUGCUAGUCGGGUGUUAGGCGGCUUGAGGGGCCUUGAGCGAUCUUGUCAAAAUGGUUUUUACCGACUCCUCUUGAAACACGAACCAAGGAGUCUAAGACUAACGCGAGUAUGGUGGUGGAGAAACCAACAUGCGAAAUGAAAGUAAAUGAUGCCAAGCUCCCUGCAGCAUCGACCGACUUUUUUCUAUUGGAAGAGGUUUGAGUAAGAG